rnacentral:rRNA from 1 species
CUUGACUGUAGCCUGAAAUUGGGUUUGGGCUCUUCUUGCGCAGCCUAGGUGGGAGGCGUUGAUGGUACCCUUCCGGGGGUACCGGAGCCAUCAGUGAGAGACCACUCUGGAGGAGCUAGAAUUCUAAUGGUGAUCCUUGAAUCAGGACACUUGACAGUUUCAGAUGGGCAGUUUUUCUGGGGCGGAAAACUCCUAAAGGGUAACGGAGUUGCGCAAUGGUUCCCUCAAUCUGGACGGAGAUCAGAUGUUGAGUGUAAAGGCAAAAGGGAGCUUGACUGUGAGACCUACAAGUCAAACAGGGGCGAAAGCCGGCCUUAGUGAUCCGACGGUGCUGUGUGGAAAGGCCGUCGCUCAACGGAUAAAAGUUA